rnacentral:rRNA from 1 species
AUUGAACGCUGGCGGAAUGCUUUACACAUGCAAGUCGAACGAUGAAACCUAGCUUGCUAGGUCGAUUAGUGGCGAACGGGUGAGUAAUAUAUCGGAACGUAUCCAAUAAUGGGGGAUAACUAGUCGAAAGAUUGGCUAAUACCGCAUACGUCCUACGAGAGAAAGCUAGGGAUCUUCGGACCUGGCGUUAAUGGAGCGGCCGAUAUCUGAUUAGCUAGUUGGUGAGGUAAAGGCUCACCAAGGCGACGAUCAGUAGCUGGUCUGAGAGGACGACCAGCCACACUGGAACUGAGACACGGUCCAGACUCCUACGGGAGGCAGCAGUGGGGAAUUUUGGACAAUGGGCGAAAGCCUGAUCCAGCCAUUCCGCGUGGGUGAAGAAGGCCUUCGGGUUGUAAAGCUCUUUCGCAAGGGAAGAACACUUAAUCUCUAACAUAGAUUGAGGUUGACGGUACCUUGAUAAGAAGCACCGGCUAACUACGUGCCAGCCGCCGCCGUAA